rnacentral:rRNA from 1 species
UACGUAGGGGGCAAGCGUUGUCCGGAAUCAUUGGGCGUAAAGAGCGUGUAGGCGGCCCGAUAAGUCCGCUGUGAAAGUCCAGGGCUCAACCCUGGGAUGCCGGUGGAUACUGUCGGGCUCGAGUCCGGAAGAGGAGUGUGGAAUUCCUGGUGUAGCGGUGAAAUGCGUAGAUAUCCGGAGGAACACCGGUGGCGAAGGCGGCUUCCUGGACCGACACUGACGCUGAGGCGCGAAAGCUAGGGGAGCAAACGGG